AGCUCCAAUAGCGUAUAUUAAAGUUGUUGCAGUUAGAACGCUCGUAGUCGGAUUUCGGGGCGGUCCGACCGGUCUGCCGAUGGGUACGCACUGGUCGGAGCGUCCUUUUUGCCGGAGACCGUUCCUACUCUUAACUGAGCGGGAGCGGGAGACGGCACUUUUACUUUGAAAAAAUCAGAGUGUUUCAAGCAGGCAGCUCGCUCUUGCAUGGAUUAGCAUGGGAUAAUGAAAUAGGACUUUGGUGCUAUUUUGUUGGUUUCGAACACCGAAGUAAUGAUGAGAAGGGACAGUCAGGGGCACUCGUAUUCCGCCGAGAGAGGUGAAAUUCUCAGACCAGCGGAAGACGAACCACUGCGAAAGCAUUUGCCAGGGAUGUUUUCACUG
rnacentral:rRNA from 1 species